rnacentral:rRNA from 1 species
UACGAGGGGGCAAGCGUUAUUCGGAAUUAUUGGGCGUAAAGGGCGCGUAGGCGGCGAUUCAAGUGACGGGUGAAAUCCCUCGGCUUAACCGAGGAACUGCCUGUCAGACUGGGUUGCUUGAGACCGGGAGAGGCGAGUGGAAUUCCCAGUGUAGCGGUGAAAUGCGUAGAUAUUGGGAGGAACACCAGUGGCGAAGGCGGCUCGCUGGACCGGAACUGACGCUGAGGCGCGAAAGCGUGGGGAGCAAACAGG